UUUGGUGGCGAUGCGUCCAAGGGAAACACCCGUUCCCAUCCCGAACACGAAUCGCAAUUGCUUGCAAUUGCACUCGGUUAAGCCUUGGACGGCCGAUGGUACUUGGUUGGAGACGACCUGGGAGAGUAGGUGGCUGCCAAUU
rnacentral:rRNA from 1 species